UGGGGAAUAUUGGACAAUGGGGGAAACCCUGAUCCAGCAAUGCCGCGUGAGUGAAGAAGGCCUUAGGGUUGUAAAGCUCUUUCGCCCGCGAAGAUAAUGACGGUAGCGGGAGAAGAAGCCCCGGCUAACCCCGUGCCAGCAGCCGCGGUAAUACGGAGGGGGCUAGCGUUGUUCGGAAUUACUGGGCGUAAAGCGUACGUAGGCGGAUGCGCAAGUUGGGGGUGAAAUCCCGGGGCUUAACCUCGGAAUUGCCCUCAAAACUGCACGUCUUGAGACCGAGAGAGGUAAGGGGAAUUCCUAGUGUAGAGGUGAAAUUCGUAGAUAUUAGGAAGAACACCAGUGGCGAAGGCGCCUUACUGGCUCGGUACUGACGCUGAGGUACGAAAGCGUGGGGAGCAAACA
rnacentral:rRNA from 1 species